UACAGAGGGUGCGAGCGUUAAUCGGAAUUACUGGGCGUAAAGCGCGUGUAGGCGGCUGAGCAAGUCGGAUGUGAAAGCCCUGGGCUUAACCUAGGAAGUGCAUUCGAAACUGCUUGGCUUGAGUUCUGGAGAGGAAGGCGGAAUUCUCGGUGUAGAGGUGAAAUUCGUAGAUAUCGAGAGGAACACCGGUGGCGAAGGCGGCGAUCUGGGAAGUUACUGACGCUGAGGUGCGAAAGCGUGGGGAGCAAACAGG
rnacentral:rRNA from 1 species